rnacentral:rRNA from 1 species
GAUGAACGCUGGCGGCGUGCCUAAUACAUGCAAGUCGAGCGAACGGACGAGAAGCUUGCUUCUCUGAUGUUAGCGGCGGACGGGUGAGUAACACGUGGAUAACCUACCUAUAAGACUGGGAUAACUUCGGGAAACCGGAGCUAAUACCGGAUAAUAUUUUGAACCGCAUGGUUCAAAAGUGAAAGACGGUCUUGCUGUCACUUAUAGAUGGAUCCGCGCUGCAUUAGCUAGUUGGUAAGGUAACGGCUUACCAAGGCAACGAUGCGUAGCCGACCUGAGAGGGUGAUCGGCCACACUGGAACUGAGACACGGUCCAGACUCCUACGGGAGGCAGCAGUAGGGAAUCUUCCGCAAUGGGCGAAAGCCUGACGGAGCAACGCCGCGUGAGUGAUGAAGGUCUUCGGAUCGUAAAACUCUGUUAUUAGGGAAGAACAUAUGUGUAAGUAACUGUGCACAUCUUGACGGUACCUAAUCAGAAAGCCACGGCUAACUACGUGCCAGCAGCCGCGGUAAUACGUAGGUGGCAAGCGUUAUCCGGAAUUAUUGGGCGUAAAGCGCGCGUAGGCGGUUUUUUAAGUCUGAUGUGAAAGCCCACGGCUCAACCGUGGAGGGUCAUUGGAAACUGGAAAACUUGAGUGCAGAAGAGGAAAGUGGAAUUCCAUGUGUAGCGGUGAAAUGCGCAGAGAUAUGGAGGAACACCAGUGGCGAAGGCGACUUUCUGGUCUGUAACUGACGCUGAUGUGCGAAAGCGUGGGGAUCAAACAGGAUUAGAUACCCUGGUAGUCCACGCCGUAAACGAUGAGUGCUAAGUGUUAGGGGGUUUCCGCCCCUUAGUGCUGCAGCUAACGCAUUAAGCACUCCGCCUGGGGAGUACGACCGCAAGGUUGAAACUCAAAGGAAUUGACGGGGACCCGCACAAGCGGUGGAGCAUGUGGUUUAAUUCGAAGCAACGCGAAGAACCUUACCAAAUCUUGACAUCCUUUGACAACUCUAGAGAUAGAGCUUUCCCCUUCGGGGGACAAAGUGACAGGUGGUGCAUGGUUGUCGUCAGCUCGUGUCGUGAGAUGUUGGGUUAAGUCCCGCAACGAGCGCAACCCUUAAGCUUAGUUGCCAUCAUUAAGUUGGGCACUCUAAGUUGACUGCCGGUGACAAACCGGAGGAAGGUGGGGAUGACGUCAAAUCAUCAUGCCCCUUAUGAUUUGGGCUACACACGUGCUACAAUGGACAAUACAAAGGGCAGCGAAACCGCGAGGUCAAGCAAAUCCCAUAAAGUUGUUCUCAGUUCGGAUUGUAGUCUGCAACUCGACUACAUGAAGCUGGAAUCGCUAGUAAUCGUAGAUCAGCAUGCUACGGUGAAUACGUUCCCGGGUCU